CCAAAAACUUAGCUCUCUACCCCUAAUGAAAUUUUUUCAACUAACAACCUUAUAAAACAUUUUACACUUCAAGUAAAGGCGAUUGAAAAAUGUCUAGAAGCUAUAGAAACUAGUACCGCAAGGGAAAAGUGAAAUAACAGUGAAAAUUUUAAGCACAAAACAGCAGAGCCUCAACCUCGUACCUUUUGCAUCAUGGUUUAACAAGUCUAACCAAGCAAACGCACCUUAAGUUUGACUUCCCGAAACUAGACGAGCUACUUAAGAACAGCCUUGUGGGCCAACCCGUCUCUGUUGCAAAAGAGUGGGACGAUUUUUUAAGUAGAGGUGAUAAACCUACCGAGCCUAGAGAUAGCUGGUUAUUCAGGAAAAGGAUCUAAGUCCUACCUUAAAUUUUAUGUA
rnacentral:rRNA from 1 species